UCAACAUCAAGCACUUUUGGAACUGGCUGCAACGGAGGAGUAAGAGCUUCUGCAGGCGCUUCUGCUUUAACAUCAAGCACUUUUGGAACUGGCUGCAUCGGAGGAGUAAGAGCUUCUGCAGGCGCUUCUGCUUUCCAUCAUACUCUUUUUUGAGGGUUCAAUGAAACGCUGUGUCAACCUUGGGAUAGAUAGAUGGUGUGGUUUUAGAAUAGAUUCUCUUGAAUCCCAGGGAGACAGCUGGAGUCACACGCUCCUUUAAUGUUGGAGAAAAGUAGUCAAAAAGGAGAGCGACUUUAUUGUUUCUUUUUUCUUUGAAUGUUCUCUUCCCUUGUGUUCAUGCUUGCACGCUAUUUUGUCUGAUUAAUUCUCUUGUGUCCUCGUUUGUCUAUCUGUAUUAGAACCUAAAUAUUUGAAAACUAACUUUUUAAUAUAUUAAGGUUUUUUCGU